rnacentral:pre_miRNA from 1 species
UAUAAGGGAUUUUGAGUUUUUGCUUGUAACGUUUGACCACUCGUCUUAUUCAAAUUUUUUAAAAUUAUUAAUUAUUUUAUUUGUGACUUACUUUAUAUCUAUAGUACUUUUAAGCACAACUUUUCAUUUUUUAUAUUUGCAAAAAAAAUUUGAAUAAGACGAGUGGUCAAACGUUACAAGCAAAAACUGAAAAUCCCUUAUA